rnacentral:rRNA from 1 species
UACGGAGGGUGCAAGCGUUAUCCGGAUUCACUGGGUUUAAAGGGUGCGUAGGUGGGCAGGUAAGUCAGUGGUGAAAUCUUUGGGCUUAACCCGAAAACUGCCAUUGAUACUAUCUGUCUUGAAUGUUGUGGAGGUGAGCGGAAUAUGUCAUGUAGCGGUGAAAUGCUUAGAUAUGACAUAGAACAUCGAUUGCGAAGGCAGCUCGCUACGCGAGUAUUGACACUGAGGCACGAAAGCGUGGGGAUCAAACAGG